rnacentral:rRNA from 1 species
AGAGCGAACGCUGGCGGCAUGCUUAGCACAUGCAAGUCGCACGGGUUUGGGGGUGACCCCAGGUCAGUGGCGGACGGGUGAGGAGCGCGUAGGAACCUGUCCUGUGGUGGGGGACAACCCUGGGAAACCGGGGCUAAUACCGCAUGUGGCCUGAGGGCCAAAGCCGGGGUGACCUGGCGCCAUGGGAGGGGCCUGCGUCCGAUUAGCUUGUUGGUGGGGUAACGGCCUACCAAGGCGUCGAUCGGUAGCCGGUCUGAGAGGGAUGGCCGACGACACUGGGACUGAGACACGGCCCAGACUCCUACGGGAGCAGCAGUGGGAAUAUUGGGCAAUGGGG